UGACUGUUGACUUUCGGUAUGCCUCUGGACC
rnacentral:piRNA from 1 species